rnacentral:rRNA from 1 species
AGAGUUUGAUCCUGGCUCAGGAUGAACGCUGGCGGCGUGCUUAACACAUGCAAGUCGAACGGGAAAUAUUUCAUUGAGACUUCGGUGGAUUUGAUCUAUUUCUAGUGGCGGACGGGUGAGUAACGCGUGGGUAACCUGCCUUAUACAGGGGGAUAACAGUCAGAAAUGGCUGCUAAUACCGCAUAAGCGCACAGAGCUGCAUGGCUCAGUGUGAAAAACUCCGGUGGUAUAAGAUGGACCCGCGUUGGAUUAGCUGGUUGGUGGGGUAACGGCCCACCAAGGCGACGAUCCAUAGCCGGCCUGAGAGGGUGAACGGCCACAUUGGGACUGAGACACGGCCCAGACUCCUACGGGAGGCAGCAGUGGGGGAUAUUGCGCAAUGGGGGCAACCCUGACGCAGCAACGCCGCGUGAAGGAUGAAGGUUUUCGGAUUGUAAACUUCUUUUAUUAAGGACGAAAAUUGACGGUACUUAAUGAAUAAGCUCCGGCUAACUACGUGCCAGCAGCCGCGGUAAUACGUAGGGAGCAAGCGUUGUCCGGAUUUACUGGGUGUAAAGGGUGCGUAGGCGGCUUUGCAAGUCAGAUGUGAAAUCUAUGGGCUCAACCCAUAAACUGCAUUUGAAACUGUAGAGCUUGAGUGAAGUAGAGGCAGGCGGAAUUCCCCGUGUAGCGGUGAAAUGCGUAGAGAUGGGGAGGAACACCAGUGGCGAAGGCGGCCUGCUGGGCUUUAACUGACGCUGAGGCACGAAAGCGUGGGUAGCAAACAGGAUUAGAUACACUGGUAGUCCACGCUGUAAACGAUGAUUACUAGGUGUGGGGGGUCUGACCCCUUCCGUGCCGGAGUUAACACAAUAAGUAAUCCACUUGGGGAGUACGGCCGCAAGGUUGAAACUCAAAGGAAUUGACGGGGGCCCGCACAAGCUGUGGAGUAUGUGGUUUAAUUCGAAGCAACGCGAAGAACCUUACCAGGUCUUGACAUCCACCUAACGAAGUAGAGAUACAUUAGGUGCCCUUCGGGGAAAGUUGAGACAGGUGGUGCAUGGUUGUCGUCAGCUCGUGUCUUGAGAUGUUGGGUUAAGUCCCGC